rnacentral:hammerhead_ribozyme from 1 species
AUUCAGCCGACGAGCCUCAAAUAGGGCGAAACACCCGUCAAACUGGAU